rnacentral:rRNA from 1 species
UACGUAGGGGGCAAGCGUUGUCCGGAAUCAUUGGGCGUAAAGAGCGUGUAGGCGGUCCGGUAAGUCGGCUGUGAAAGUCCAGGGCUCAACCCUGGGAUGCCGGUCGAUACUGCCGGACUAGAGUUCGGAAGAGGCGAGUGGAAUUCCCGGUGUAGCGGUGAAAUGCGCAGAUAUCGGGAGGAGCACCUAUGGCGAAGGCAGCUCGCUGGGACGUUACUGACGCUGAGACGCGAAAGCGUGGGGAGCAAACAGG